rnacentral:rRNA from 1 species
UACCUACGGGACGCAGCAGUGAGGAAUAUUGGUCAAUGGGCGGGAGCCUGAACCAGCCAAGCCGCGUGAGGGAAGAAGGUACAGCGUAUCGUAAACCUCUUUUGUCAGGGAACAAAGGCGGGGACUAGUCCCCGGAUGAGGGUACCUGAAGAAAAAGCAUCGGCUAACUCCGUGCCAGCAGCCGCGGUAAUACGGAGGAUGCGAGCGUUAUCCGGAUUUAUUGGGUUUAAAGGGUGCGUAGGCGGACUGGAAAGUCAGCGGUAAAAUCGAGAGGCUCAACCUCUUUCCGCCGUUGAAACUGUCGG